rnacentral:rRNA from 1 species
CAGCCGCCACGGUAAUACAGAGGGUGCGAGCGUUAAUCGGAUUUACUGGGCGUAAAGCGUGCGUAGGCGGCUUAUUAAGUCGGAUGUGAAAUCCCUGAGCUUAACUUAGGAAUUGCAUUCGAUACUGGGAAGCUAGAGUAUGGGAGAGGAUGGUAGAAUUCCAGGUGUAGCGGUGAAAUGCGUAGAGAUCUGGAGGAAUACCGAUGGCGAAGGCAGCCAUCUGGCCUAAUACUGACGCUGAGGUACGAAAGCAUGGGGAGCAAACAGGAUUAGAUACCCCGGUAGUCCCUGUCUCUUAUAA